UACGAAGGGGGCUAGCGUUGCUCGGAAUCACUGGGCGUAAAGGGUGCGUAGGCGGGUCUUUUAAGUCAGGGGUGAAAUCCUGGAGCUCAACUCCAGAACUGCCUUUGAUACUGAGGAGCUUGAGUCCGGGAGAGGUGAGUGGAACUGCGAGUGUAGAGGUGAAAUUCGUAGAUAUUCGCAAGAACACCAGUGGCGAAGGCGGCUCACUGGCCCGGUACUGACGCUGAGGUGCGAAAGCGUGGGAGCAACAGGG
rnacentral:rRNA from 1 species